GACGAACGCUGGCGGCGUGCUUAACACAUGCAAGUCGAACGGAAAGGCCCUGCUUUUGUGGGGUGCUCGAGUGGCGAACGGGUGAGUAACACGUGAGUAACCUGCCCUUGACUUUGGGAUAACUUCAGGAAACUGGGGCUAAUACCGGAUAGGAGCUCCUGUUGCAUGGUGGGGGUUGGAAAGUUUCGGCGGUUGGGGAUGGACUCGCGGCUUAUCAGCUUGUUGGUGGGGUAGUGGCUUACCAAGGCUUUGACGGGUAGCCGGCCUGAGAGGGUGACCGGCCACAUUGGGACUGAGAUACGGCCCAGACUCCUACGGGAGGCAGCAGUGGGGAAUAUUGCACAAUGGGCGGAAGCCUGAUGCAGCAACGCCGCGUGCGGGAUGACGGCCUUCGGGUUGUAAACCGCUUUCGCCUGUGACGAAGCGUGAGUGACGGUAAUGGGUAAAGAAGCACCGGCUAACUACGU
rnacentral:rRNA from 1 species